rnacentral:rRNA from 1 species
CCUACGGGUGGCAGCAGUGAGGAAUAUUGGUCAAUGGACGCAAGUCUGAACCAGCCAUGCCGCGUGCAGGAAGACGGCUCUAUGAGUUGUAAACUGCUUUUGUACGAGGGUAAACGCAGAUACGCGUAUCUGUCUGAAAGUAUCGUACGAAUAAGGAUCGGCUAACUCCGUGCCAGCAGCCGCGGUAAUACGGAGGAUUCAAGCGUUAUCCGGAUUUAUUGGGUUUAAAGGGUGCGUAGGCCGGCGGAUAAGUUAGACGUGAAAUCCCGGGGCUCAACUUCGGAAUUGCCUCUGAUACUGGUCGGCUAGAGAGUAGUUGCGGUAGGCGGAAUGUAUGGUGUAGCGGUGAAAUGCUUAGAGAUCAUACAGAACACCGAUUGCGAAGGCGGCUUUCUGGACUGAAACUGACGCUGAGGCACGAAAGCGUGGGGAGCGAACAGGAUUAGAUACCCGGGUAGUC